rnacentral:rRNA from 1 species
AGUGAACGCUGGCGGUAGGCCUAACACAUGCAAGUCGAACGGCAGCACAGUAAGAGCUUGCUCUUACGGGUGGCGAGUGGCGGACGGGUGAGGAAUACAUCGGAAUCUACUUUUUCGUGGGGGAUAACGUAGGGAAGCUUACGCUAAUACCGCAUACGACCUACGGGUGAAAGCAGGGGAUCUUCGGACCUUGCGCGAUUGAAUGAGCCGAUGUCGGAUUAGCUAGUUGGCGGGGUAAAGGCCCACCAAGGCGACGAUCCGUAGCUGGUCUGAGAGGAUGAUCAGCCACACUGGAACUGAGACGCGGUCCAGACUCCUACGGGAGGCAGCAGUGGGGAAUAUUGGACAAUGGGCGCAAGCCUGAUCCAGCCAUACCGCGUGGGUGAAGAAGGCCUUCGGGUUGUAAAGCCCUUUUGUUGGGAAAGAAAAGCAGCAGGUUAAUACCCCGCUGUUCUGACGGUACCCAAAGAAUAAGCACCGGCUAACUUCGUG